rnacentral:rRNA from 1 species
AGCAACAAAUGCCCUGCUUCCAGGAAAAGCCUCUAAGCAUCAGGUAACAUCAAAUCGUACCCCAAACCGACACAGGUGGUCAGGUAGAGAAUACCAAGGCGCUUGAGAGAACUCGGGUGAAGGAACUAGGCAAAAUGGUGCCGUAACUUCGGGAGAAGGCACGCUGACACGUAGGUGAAGUGAUUUACUCAUGGAGCUGAAGUCAGUCGAAGAUACCAGCUGGCUGCAACUGUUUAUUAAAAACACAGCACUGUGCAAACACGAAAGUGGACGUAUACGGUGUGACGCCUGCCCGGUGCCGGAAGGUUAAUUGAUGGGGUCAGCGCAAGCGAAGCUCCUGAUCGAAGCCCCGGUAAACGGCGGCCGUAACUAUAACGGUCCUAAGGUAGCGAAAUUCCUUGUCGGGUAAGUUCCGACCUGCACGAAUGGCGUAAUGAUGGCCAGGCUGUCUCCACCCGAGACUCAGUGAAAUUGAACUCGCUGUGAAGAUGCAGUGUACCCGCGGCAAGACGGAAAGACCCCGUGAACCUUUACUAUAGCUUGACACUGAACAUUGAGCCUUGAUGUGUAGGAUAGGUGGGAGGCUUUGAAGUGUGGACGCCAGUCUGCAUGGAGCCGACCUUGAAAUACCACCCUUUAAUGUUUGAUGUUCUAACGUGGACCCGUGAUCCGGGUUGCGGACAGUGUCUGGUGGGUAGUUUGACUGGGGCGGUCUCCUCCUAAAGAGUAACGGAGGAGCACGAAGGUUGGCUAAUCCUGGUCGGACAUCAGGAGGUUAGUGCAAUGGCAUAAGCCAGCUUGACUGCGAGCGUGACGGCGCGAGCAGGUGCGAAAGCAGGUCAUAGUGAUCCGGUGGUUCUGAAUGGAAGGGCCAUCGCUCAACGGAUAAAAGGUACUCCGGGGAUAACAGGCUGAUACCGCCCAAGAGUUCAUAUCGACGGCGGUGUUUGGCACCUCGAUGUCGGCUCAUCACAUCCUGGGGCUGAAGUAGGUCCCAAGGGUAUGGCUGUUCGCCAUUUAAAGUGGUACGCGAGCUGGGUUUAGAACGUCGUGAGACAGUUCGGUCCCUAUCUGCCGUGGGCGCUGGAGAACUGAGGGGGGCUGCUCCUAGUACGAGAGGACCGGAGUGGACGCAUCACUGGUGUUCGGGUUGUCAUGCCAAUGGCACUGCCCGGUAGCUAAAUGCGGAAGAGAUAAGUGCUGAAAGCAUCUAAGCACGAAACUUGCCCCGAGAUGAGUUCUCCCUGAGACUUUAGGUCUCCUGAAGGAACGUUGAAGACGACGACGUUGAUAGGCCGGGUGUG